rnacentral:rRNA from 1 species
AACGAACGCUGGCGGCAUGCCUAACACAUGCAAGUCGAACGAGACCUUCGGGUCUAGUGGCGCACGGGUGCGUAACGCGUGGGAAUCUGCCCUUAGGUUCGGAAUAACAGUUAGAAAUGACUGCUAAUACCGGAUAAUGACGUAAGUCCAAAGAUUUAUCGCCUAGGGAUGAGCCCGCGUAGGAUUAGCUAGUUGGUGGGGUAAAAGCCUACCAAGGCGACGAUCCUUAGCUGGUCUGAGAGGAUGAUCAGCCACACUGGGACUGAGACACGGCCCAGACUCCUACGGGAGGCAGCAGUGGGGAAUAUUGGACAAUGGGCGAAAGCCUGAUCCAGCAAUGCCGCGUGAGUGAUGAAGGCCUUAGGCUGUAAAGCUCUUUUACCCGGGAUGAUAGUGACAGUACCGGGAGAAUAAGCUCCGGCUAACUCCGUGCCA